UACGUAGGUGGCAAGCGUUGUCCGGAUUUACUGGGCGUAAAGAGCGCGCAGGCGUUCGGAUAAGUCGAAUGUGAAAGCCCCCGGCUCAACUGGGGAGGGUCAUUCGAUACUGUUCGACUCGAAGGCAGGAGAGGGAAGUGGAAUUCCCGGUGUAGUGGUGAAAUGCGUAGAUAUCGGGAGGAACACCAGUGGCGAAGGCGACUUCCUGGCCUGUUCUUGACGCUGAGGCGCGAAAGCUAGGGGAGCAAACGGG
rnacentral:rRNA from 1 species